GGGGGGGGGGGGGGGGGGGGCGGGGGGGGGGGGGGCGGGGGGGGGGGGGGGGAGGGGGGGGGCGGGCGGGGGGGGGGGGGGGGGGGGGUGAGGGAUGGAGCGGAGUCUGCUUUUUCGGGGGGGGGAACGUAGGGGAGCCUACGCGAAGACCGCAGACGACCGUGGGGGGAAAGGAGGGGAGCUUCGGACCUUGCGCGAUUGAAUGCGCCGGUGUCGGAUUAGCUAGUUGGCGGGGGCAAGGCCCACCAAGGCGACGGUCCGUAGCUGGUCUGAGAGGAUGUUCAGCCACACGGGAACUGAGACACGGUCCAGACUCCUACGGGAGGCAGCAGUGGGGAAUAUUGGACAAUGGGCGCAAGCCUGAUCCAGCCAUACCGCGUGGGUGAAGAAGGCCUUCGGGUUGUAAAGCCCUUUUGUUGGGAAAGAAAAGCAGCAGGUUAAUACCCCGCUGUUCUGACGGUACCCAAAGAAUAAGCACCGGCUAACUUCGUG
rnacentral:rRNA from 1 species